UGGGCGAGGCGCGCGCGGGCGGGGCCGCGGCGCCGCCAUCUUGCGGCGGGGGCCACCCUGAGGGGGCCGCGGGCACCGCCCCCCGCCCCGCCAAGCGCUGCGGUGCCGAACAUUGUCCCUGCAGGACACGGGCAGCCCCCGGGCACCCGAGGGCCCAGAGUGCAGUCGGGCUGUUCUGAGGGGACACACACACACACAGGGUCACCUGAUGUGAAGGCAGAGCAGACUCGCCAAAGAGAUGCACCAAAGCUCUUUAAGUUGCUUUGAAACAGAAAUGGCAGCCAGGACUCUGCAGUUUUAAAGCAUCUGUUUUGUUCCCUAGAAGAAAUGCACACCAAAGUAGACCACUGGAUCAAUGGGAAAGAAUUCCAUCAUCUUGGAUGGGCUUUGCAUCAUGCCCUGCAGUUGCUUUACCUGUGUUUGGCUGGCAGACUGGCAUCCCUCAGAGAGCUCUCAGAAGGCAUUUCCAAAACUCUCUCACUGCUGAAUGAGAGCCUGAUUUAUUUUCAGAGUCACAUACAAAAAAUGCAGCUGAUCAAAUACAUACCUAGAAAAAUCCAAGAAUGCUUUUCUGAAGUUCUGGCAGAGGCAGUGGUGAGAAGUUAUUACUGACAGCUCAUUAGAUAAUAUAUUCUUCUAAGUGUAAACUCAUUCGUUAUCAUUAACCUCACCCAAGUGUUUUGCUGUCUCUGGUUUAAGUAAUCUGAAUGGAUUGUGGUUUUCCUUUACUUUGAGUGCCCUGCACAGCAUUUCUUCCAUACCUGUGGGCACCAAUGACAAGGGGAGAACACAAAAAGGUGUCGCUUCCACCAACAGAACCAGCAGCAUUCACCCAUUUCACAAGGUAUUUACUUGAACCUUCUUAGCCCAGAGGAGCUUUAGAUUUUAUAAAUUAACCAUUUUGUGUUGGAAUAAGGAGAAAGGGAAGAAAUCUUACCAAGUUGACAAGUGCACUUGUGUAGAGAUUUUAAAAUGUAAGGUGUGAUGAGCAGUGAAAAAAAAUCAAUCAAAUUACAAGACAAAACCAGUAAAGCCAUGGAUGCUUGAGGUUUUUAAGGUAGUGCAAAUCAUUCUCCUUCUCUCCAUUACCAGAUUAUCAGAGCAGUCUGUGUGAGAGCUGUCACCUCAGGUGUUGUACUUGCACACACACUGCAUUUUACAGACAAAAUAUGUCACAGUUAUGUAAGUGACCCCUCCAUCAUUAUGGCCAGUGAUUUAUAAGAAAUCAUCACAUAUUUUAAACUGACUCAGCAGCCCCAGAGCAGCUUCUGAACUAGACAGGACUUCAGGAGGUGACCAGACAGGUGCUGGGAUCACACAUACGAAUUUCUUUUUGUGUUCUUACCACUACAUUUCCUAUGGCAUUACCAGAUUUGGUUAUAAGCCAAAAUUAGCAACCCUAAUUUUGAUUAUCAUCACAACAAUCUAGACUGAAGCAAGCCCAGCGUGUUCUGCCACCCUGUCUGCAAAAAAAUCAACAUUUUUUGCUUUAGGCUCCCAGUCCAUGUGACUGUAACUGUGACCCAGACAGAGAACAGAUGCUGUGUCCUGUCCCCACAGCCCCAGCUCCCACAGAUCACAGGGGAUCUCCAGCUCUGAUUCACCUUCAGUGUCCCAGUUCAAGCAGGUAAAUUGGGUGUUAAUACUUACAGCUUUUUCCUAUUUACAAAUAGCCCCUUGCUGCAAGUACAUUGAAAUAAAGAGCAAUCACACCUAAAUAAAGAGAACACAGGGAUGCAGCAGUUAUUUGUGAGUGAGCUACCCAAUGAAAACCAGAUUGCAAGGCAUAGUUUUCAGCAGUUAAAAUGAUGUAGUAAUGUUCUGCUAGACUGACAAAAUUUGGCAGAACUUGAUAGUAAGACAGUGGUAAGUUCUGGCCCAUACAAAGACCUUACACAGUUGUAAUGUUCCCUGAUUCUGAGACAGAAUUACUUGCAAACACACCCUGUACAAUCCAUAAAGUAUCAACACCAAGGAUAAUCUGAAGCUGCAGUGACAUCAAGUGAUUACAGAUAAAUGUAUUUGUUCCCCAAUACAAAGGGCUUAAUUGUUCCUCCAGCUGCUUCUGGCCAUAACUUAUGACUUCUCUGGGAUCCAGUAUGGCAGAAUGAGUAGAAGACUUGGUUUCCAUUUCAUUUUGUCUUUUAACUUAAUGGAAAAUGAAUGGAGCCCUUAAACUAUUAUUUUCAGAGCACCUGAGCUAAAUUUCAUCAAAGAGUAUACCAUGCAGUUUGUCUGACAAGGAGGCCUCAUUUUCAAGUUUAGGAUCUUCAAGGGCAUUCAAUUCCUACACUUCAGAAGCAAUUUUGCAAUGUAUACUUCAACAUUCUUAUAUAGAAUAUCCACACAGAAGAAUGCUGGCAAAAAUAAUAGCCUCUUGAGGACUGACAUUCCUGGUGAAUUCCCAGACCUGCUUCCAUACUUUAAAGGAACAGCCAUUUGCUCACCUUACAAGCACACAAUUAACAUUAAACAACUGGCCCAGUCAUUUCACUGCUCUUACAUUCAAAAGCUGAAUGUUAACUAUAGGUGUAAAUGCAACAUUUUAUUGCAUCACAGCAACACUAAGUCAAAUUGCAUUUCCAAAUUUUAAAAAAGACUGUUUCUAAAGUAGGCAGAGAUUUGAGAUAGAUUUUUUUUCUAGAUAUCCAUCCUUUGAUAGAGAAGUUACUUGAAUAUUAUCUGCACUGCUGUACAAGAAGUCACCCUCACUUUUAGAGCCCUGCAAUGCUCCAGCUGCUCAGAGAACACUACCAGUUUUAUCUUUGCUGCUUUGAGCUUGGCUUUCUGUAUUUGUAAAUGAUCACUGAUUUGAGUAAUUCCCAACCCACUUUCUCACUGGCAGUCCAGCAAGGUGUUUGUACAACAGCCACACCCAUCUGUGGGUUUCCCUUCCAUGCUCACAUUCAGUGAUCACAGUGAUCCCUGGCUCUGUGGGACAGUCCCUGAGCCAGCCCCAUCCAUACAGUGAUCCCUGAGCCAGCCCCAUCCAUACAGUGAUCCCUGAGCCAGCCCAUCCAUACAGUGAUCCCUGAACCAGCCCCAUUCAUACAGUGAUCCCUGAGCCAACCCCAGUCUGUACAGUGAUCCCUGAGCCAGCCCAUCCAUACAGUGACCCCUGAGCCAGCCCCAUCCAUACAGUGAUCCCUGAGCCAGCCCAUCCAUACAGUGACCCCUGAACCAGCCCCAUCCAUACAGUGAUCCCUGAGCCAGCCCAUCCAUACAGUGAUCCCUGAGCCAGCCCAUCCAUACAGUGAUCCCUGAGCCAGCCCAUCCAUACAGUGACCCCUGAACCAGCCCCAUCCAUACAGUGAUCCCUGAGCCAGCCCAUCCAUACAGUGAUCCCUGAGCCAACCCCAGUCUGUACAGUGAUCCCUGAGCCAGCCCAUCUAUACAGUGAUCCCUGAGCCAGCCCCAUCCAUACAGUGAUCCCUGAGCCAGCCCCAUCCAUACAGUGACCCCUGAGCCAGCCCCAUCCAUACAGUGACCCCUGAGCCAGCCCCAUCCAUACAGUGAUCCCUGAGCCAGCCCAUCCAUACAGUGACCCCUGAGCCAGCCCAUCCAUACAGUGACCCCUGAGCCAGCCCAUCCAUACAGUGACCCCUGAGCCAGCCCAUCCAUACAGUGACCCCUGAGCCAGCCCCAUCCAUACAGUGAUCCCUGAGCCAGCCCCAUCCAUACAGUGAUCCCUGAGCCAGCCCCAUCCAUACAGUGACCCCUGAGCCAGCCCAUCCAUACAGUGAUCCCUGAGCCCGCCCUGUCCCUACAGCGGUGCCUGGCUCGGUGCCCAGCCCUGCCCAGCCGUACGUACCACGGUGCUGCCGUUGUGCAUGUUGUGGGUGUCCUUGUGUGCGUGGGCACAGAAGUCGAUGCAGGCCGUGACCCCGGAGAAGGGCCGGCCCGCCUGGCAGCCCAGCCGGCAGUCGGGGCCCAUGUGCUCGUUCUCCACCUGCAAGGACAGUACACUACAGCUACUUGGGACUCAAAGGGAGGGGCUGGGAGCCCCAGGGCCACCACCUCCCUUGUGACAGAGUGAAGGCAGCCAAGAAGCCACAGUGAUCAAAAAGCACAUAUUUCUCUAUCAAACAUGGAACGCUUCUGGCUGGAUGUCAGCGAGAUAAUCAGGUCAGCCAGACUCUAAGUGUCUUGAAACAGUGAAACCAAUUUAUUUACAGUAUUAUCUCUGAGCCUUUGUCACCUGUGCCCAGCUCAGGCCACAAGUGAACUCCCAGUUCAAAUCUGGAGGUGCAGUACAUUAAAACCUGCCAAAUGCCCCUGGAAGCAGCAGCUCCACAGCACCGCAAGGCCUGGGGCUGCUCCUUGGUUUGGAACCAAGCUGCUGCUCAGAGCUGAGUGUCACACACCUACCUGGUUCUGGAAAGCUUCCGGAGCAAGCUUCUUAUACACUGGAGCCACAUCAGUAGCCAACGUUUGCAAAUUAUUUUCCAGAAGUUCCUCCUGCAGAGAAAGGCAACAUUCAGUGCUGGAGGUGGCUUUGAAAGCAUCUCAGCCAGAUGAGAGAUGCCUGACAGCUCAGCCUCUGCCUCCUGUUUUAUUAAUCUGACUUCUGUCCUGCUGCCCUUUGUCACUAGCCAUAAAUGUCUACUUUUGCAUGACCAAAACACCAAAAUAGUUAGAUAUAAAUCAACCAAAUAACAGUGGAGGGUAUCUGCUGGGGCAAAGAAACCCAACACAGGGGAACUCAUUUCUGCAUCAGUUCUGAUAUGUGUCAAGGAGGGAGGUAUGUUCUACACAAAACCAGAGGACAAAACUCAUAGCCCAUUGUGAGCGGGGAUGGAGCCUCAGGUCUUCUUGUAAUGUUUUGCUUAUAGGCCUUAAUCCACAUUGACACAGCUCUGCUAAAAGAAGCCCAGGUUUCCAAUACAUUUCCUUUAACUGUACGAGAAACUGCCAAUUGCAUUUAACACUCAUUUCAGCUCUUAGGUCUUUUCUCAGAGGUACAUUUCUCAUACUGCAACAGAACUUUCACCAGGAACAGUUGUUAAGUCUUUUGUUCUUUGGAGGUGCAAAACUCAGGACCUUAUGGAAAUACCUACAAGAUUUGGAAAUAGUAUUCCUUUCCUUAGGCAAAGCCAUAUAAACUCAGAAUUAGCUAGGUGGGUUUGUAUGGCAGCAUCACAUUUAAAUUCUUAUUUAUAGACACAAUCUCCAAAUUCUUAUCCUAAGUUUUUGCUUUUCCAGAAAAAUCACCAACCAACUGGUGACAGACACACUUUGUUUUCCUCCAAGGACCAGGCUUUGAGACACAACCACCUGUGUCUUCAGUUUUGCAUUGUGUGGAAAUGCAAAAACCAACAGCAGAUUUUGUUCAAAAAAACCCAAACCCACUUGUCCCCAUACCCUGUAAACACCAGUGUACAGAAGACUCACUUUUUUCCAUGCAGUGUUCCCUUACAAGACAAUACUGUAUUUUUAACUCACACCACAGCCAGUUCAUCAGCUGGAAACGCUGCCACAAGGGUUUCUGAACUGCACUGAAGGUUACAUAUCCUUCAUUAUCUGUCCUAAGUACCAUUCUUACCUUUAACUCAUCUCACUCCAUACAGUGCUUCAAAUGAUCCAAGUCUUUCUGGACUUUCAACUAUCUUUUUCUCAAUUUGCUUUCUUAAUUGAAAAUUUAAUUUUAUUAAUACUUCCUAGAUUUAUGUCAUCUGCAAAAUCAUCAAUAACCAGUAUUUAGCUAAAAGAAGUACCUGCUAGAAAAAAUAAUGCCAAAAACAAGUGUGCCACUGAGCCUGCUCUGACCACAGACCUCCUGGAGCUGCCUCAGCUCUGUGUUUCCUUAGACACACAGGGAGGUUCUGCCUUGGGGGGUUCCCCAGCUAAUUCAAAGCAUCCCAAACCUACAGAGGACAUGCCUGCACAGAAUGCUCCAUGCCCAGCAUUAGACAGAGGGAGAACCUGAACACACAGGGAAUGGCAAAAGACAGAGAAGGAACAGGAUUCCUAAAAUAAAAGAAGCCAAAUAAACACAUUUUUCUAUAAACAAAGCUUAUAAAACAAUUCCCUCUUGAGACAAGCAAGGCUGGGUUUGGCCUGUUCUGCCUUCAGCUCACAACACCUUUAUUCCUUCUCCAUGAAAAUAUUUUCAGAGUAAAACACUAAUGGGGUUGGGUUUUUUAGAUGUUCGUUACUUCACAUAAUCCAUCAUUAAUUUCUGUGCUGCCUCAACCUUUGUGACAUCACCGACACUCCUAACCAGCAAUUAACAGAAUCACUUCACUGCAUCGUGUUUUAGUGUAUCCAUUCCUUCAAAACCAUUUAAAAAAUAUGCUGGCCACAAUAAAAAAAAAAACACACAGUUUAUUCUUGGUGACAGAGGAAGCCCAGGCUGUCAGCUGGUCCUACAAAAGUGGGAAAGCAGUUGUACCUUGGGGUUGCACAUUUUCUGUGCCAAGGCAGAAGCCCUGAAGGUCUGAGCUACAGGCUUGGUCCUUAGAGAAACCCUCGAGCUGUGUUUUACACUUCUGAAGAGUGAACGUUUCACACAGGUUAGACAGGGAGCUAAACAUGCAGAAAAGCAUUUAAGGAUAAUUUUAGGGUAUUUAAAUACAUAAGUGACACUGAGUUUUCACCCAGUGGAAUAAUGAUUCUAAAUACUACAGUUAAAAAAACUGCACUGGCUGUGUGUCUGUGAUAAGCUCUGCACACAUGUAUGAGAGAGAAGGGGGUGAAAACCCAGAGAUUUUACUCCCAGUUCUGAAAAUCACCAGAAGAUGUGUUUGGAGGGGAAAAAAAAAAAAGAAAUCUUACUUGCUUAGGGUCAUCAGUGAGAAGCCUAAACUUCCUGGGGUUUUUGCUCCUGGCAAACUUACAGCCAUUGAAAUACAUACUCCAUGAACAGCCAAAUGAGAACGAUGCUCCACAAGUUUCUGGGUCAAGUCCUUGACAUGCACAAGUACGACUAGGAAAGGAAAUAAAGACAGUCGGGUCAGCUGGCAACAGAGCUCUUGGGUCUGGGGUUUUUUAGGUCAAUGCUAUUUGCUGUUUCUUUUAUAAUACAGAGCAUAAAACAAAGGAAUUUAUAAAAUACAUGGCUUAACCAGAUAUUUUCUGUUAAGGAAAUAUUCAUGUGUAGAGGGCUGACUUUUCUCCCCAGGAAGACAGACUCAACUCCCACAAGACCUAAUUCUGGGAAAUAAAUACUCAGUCACAGCUCUAUAAAUAGACCCGUGCUACUUUCAUUUUGAAUUCUCCAGCUGGAUAACCCUUUUAUCCAGGAAAGUAGCCCUGCAACUAAAGGUUACCCCUAAAUCCAAUAGUUAUUGUGUUAUGUGCAGCAAUAGCAUUAACUCCAAAUUGAUCUGACUUUCAAAGUGGACUCUAAGAACACAAGCAUUACAUUCAGGUCCCUGUACAGCUAUGAGUCUGUGAAGUGUGAGCUACAGAGAAAUCAGCACAAAGGCAGCACUGCACUUACAAUAUAUUCUUAUUAAACAAACUCAAAUCCUCUCGGAGGCACAGAGAGGGAGAUCCUGGGUUCAGGAUCACGUCUGUUUUAACAAGCGCAAUCCCACGUUGGUGGCAGCUCUUUGAGCCUGGUGGGUGUGCAGAGGGCACCCGGGGCAGCGUGCACAGAGCCAGGAGAGGAGCUCACGGCCACCCCCUCCCUGGGCACGGCACGUACAGCUCCCACAGAGCCAGGAACGAGGUGUGACACGAGUGACAGCCGGUGGUUUGGGAUUUGUGCAUCCUUGUCCAGGUGAAGUGCUGCGUUGGCAGGCUGUCCCCGCAGAGCCCAGGCAGCCCCAGAAGGAAGAAGGGACUCACUCCUCGUUGAGCGCGCACCGGCGGCUCGUGGGGCAGCCGUACUUGCGCAGGCUCUGCGUCAGCUCCUUGUACAGAGUGUCCGCCAGCAGGUGGGGGAUCCCCUCCCAGGCCAGGAUCAGGAUCACGAUCACGGCCGUCUGGCAGUGGUGGCCCGCCCGCUGCCGCACCAGGCACAGCAGCUUCUCCUCGUCGCUGCUCCUGCGGAUCACCUGCAACAACCACGGGGUUACUCUGGGAACAAACACCUCCUCAGCUGCUCCUCUCUGGGAUGGGUGAGGCCCAAAAAGCAAGGAAUACUGCUGCCCAAAGAGUGCCCAUCGGCAGGCGGGACUGCGUCACACUCAGCCCUGGGUAGAACAGGGUUUUGUGUUGCUUUCUUACCUGCAGGAGAGACAGCAGCGUAUUUGACAGGGGGAGGAGUAUUUUAGAUCUUGUACACAUGCAAUAAAGGAGAUUCAUUAAAAGGCAAAUAACCUCUGGAAGGAAACAAUCCUGAGACAAGAGAUCCACUAAGAACCCAACAGUUACUCUGAAAAUAAGGCAGAAAGUACAGUGCCAAACCCCAGAAGGCAGGUGUGUGAAAGCACACCAGUAAGGCACACGUGUUAGGACAGCUACCAGUGUUAGAGAUCAGUACCCAGGAUGGUCCUCACCUUGCAAAUAUAAGAAAGCAAUGAAAACAGUUUGUGUUCUUAGUGAAGGAAACAAUGGGAUUUUUCACAACAUAUCCCUAGACUACCUCCAUUAAAGCUCUCAGAGUGGUGAAGCUGUUACUGACCUGCAUGACGUACAAAGCCAUCUUUGGCAACCUUAUCCUUCAAACACAGAGACUAAUCAGUGUGGAACAGUACAAUACACCACUAGAUAAAAAGGGGGAAAAUUAUCAAAGAACUAGACAAUCCUACUCCCACAUAUUUAGGGCUUUGCCAUAAACUGGAAGUCACAUUUAAGACCGCCAAAAAAAGCAGUAAGGCUAGGUAUUAUAGAAUAUGGUCUCUGAAAAUACAUUUAUUUAUUCUUCCAACACGUUUUAGGCAGCAUGGCCUGUUCAAGGCCUCCAGCAAAGGUGUCAGUGCUCCAGUGUGAAGCUCCAACCCCCUUAGGCAGUAGAGGCUCCAUCCUCCUCCUCAGCUGGGCACCUGCAGGGUUCUUGCUGUGUGAGCACCAGCCCCUGCACUGCAGAGGCCUCUGCCAGCUCCAUCUCAGCACUGGCUCUGGGCAAGCAGGGCUGGGCCUUCCCCCAGCCCCCUCUCCACCCACAGAGCUCCUACACAGAACAGCCCCAGUCAUGGACGAGAAAAGCAGGAAGGCAACGGUUCCCUUUCUCUUGGAAUACCUCCAGAUAUCCGAGUGUUCAGGCAGAUUCCCCCUUGGACUGAUGUCAAAGCUGCUGUGCUGCCAGAUGUGCAGCUGUCACUCAUGUGUGACCCCUGCCCUGAUCACCUCUGAAUAUCUAAAUCAUCUGAACUCCUGGAAAGCAGGGACAAAAGCACACCUGCAGUUCAUCUGCCAAUGAAAAGGGCUGCAGCAGAUGAACAGCUGGAGAGGGCACCUGUGCAGGCUGAGCAGGGAGAGCAAGCUUAGAGUUCAUUUGUGUCAAGAGAAAGUAUCACCCUUCUAAAGCUGAUCAUGCACUCUUACAAUCAGCCUUGGGCUUCAUGAGAAAAUGAGUGGCUCUGAUACACCAUUCCUGACAAGGAGUCUUGGUUCUGACCAACCUACUGACUGACAGGUCAGUAUGUCUUAUAAGGAAAGAAAAAUAAUCCAACUCAUUUACAUUUAAGUGAAGUUGGCAGCAAGUCUGUUAAGGCUGAUCCACAAUACAGGUUAUUCAUGUAAAAGUUUUACAUUCCUGAGGCAGCAGUUCCUUCUACCCAGAAGAACAAUUUAAUUUUGUUACUCAGUGUGAAGUGAUGCUUUUACUCUUUUUUUUCUCUUAUUUCUAGACUAACCCAAAUAACACAGUCUGGUACUGUACAAUGUCAGGUGCCUUUUUUAAGUUCUCAUGUAGCUCUAAACUGGAAAAACACAGUCCAGGAAAAAUGACAAAGGAACACAAAGGAAAUUUAUAGUUUCCUUAAAACUAAGACCACACUUUCCUGCAGUUAAAUGUAGCUGGAAUUGGCUUCAUUGUGCAUACUGUAGAGAAUGCAAUACUCUUAUUGCAUCCAAAACCAUUUUACAAUCCACCACCUUCUGGGCCACAAAGGCAAGUUCAUGUAUUUUUUAGUUGUGUGAAUUUUACGUCUCUGGGUCAGUUACAUCAUCUACUCAUUGGAUCCUUUUGUUCCCAGAGAUCAGCCCUUCUCUCACCUGUCACUGAGCUGGGGUGGUUCCUGAGGUGGAGCUGGAGCCACUCUGCUUCCCCAGAGGAACUGAGGAUGCCCUCCCAGAGCAGUAAAUGAACUGAGCCUCUCCUGUGCAAUAACUCAACCCACAGCAAUGCCACACUCGGGGUACAGAAAAAGCACUUUUGAGCAGGACAGCUGAACUCCAGACUGGGGACAAUGCACAAAUCAGCUGGCAAACCUCGUGUCCAAAGGUUUUGGGUAUUACUCAUGAUUUCUGUGAUGUAGUUAACAACAGUGAUAAAGUAAAUCAUUUAAUACUUCAGUUUGUUUAAUUUUGGUCCCUAAUGCAUUUACAAGGAAUGAGAAAGUAAGCAUUUGUUAAGCAGAAGAACUUAAAAGCUACAUUUUUAGAAUGGGAAAAUAAAACUUUUCCUCUGCAAUUACUUUUCCACACAAGCUAACCAUGACUUCUGAGUGACUCACACAGAAAAAUAACAUGAUCAACAAAACAGACUUGAACAAGUCUGUGCAGCAUUAUGUAACACUUACAUGCAGCGAGCAAGAGGACAAGAGGAAACGGCCUCAAGUUGCCCCAAGGAAGGUUUAGACUGGAUCUUAGGAAAAAUUUCUUCCCAGAAAGGACUGUCCAGCCCCAGCACAGGCUGCCCAGGGCAGUGGUGGAGUGCCCAUCCUUGCAGGGAUUUAAAAGACUGUAGGUGUGGUGUUCAGGGCUGUGGUUUAGUGGUGGCCUUGGCAGUGACGGGUUAAUGGCAGAACUCAAUCUUAGAGGUUGUGUCCAGCUUAAAUGAUUCUGUAAUGGCAUGGUCAGGUUUUUGCAGGUAUGUAGGGCCACAUUCCCCCUGAACUCAUUUCAGCAACCACCGAAUGUCAUCAGUACUAAGUAUCCAUCAAGACCCCCACAUUAACAAUGAAUACUGUUUCAGCUGUACUUCAGGAAAGGAACAGGACCUACCAAACUCCUCCACAUGCUCCAUCAGUACCCACCAGCCCUGCUCUGCACUCACACUAACUGGCAUGAAGUUCCCUGCUGCCACUCCCUCCCCUGUGUGCCAACACAGCCAUGUCUAAGGCAAAAGGGAACACCAAAACGGGACUCAGCUCCUUCCAAAGAGCCUCCUUACACACACAUAUUGGACACACAGCACCACCAGGACCAUCCUUGGAGGUGCUGAUUUGGGCAGGACACUCAGUUGUUUUGAUCACUCUCAAACCCUUGUUUUGCCCAUCCCUCUGGUGCUGGAGUUGUGCCCCCACCAGUACCACAUCCUGCAUUCCUAUGGCUGUCCAGGUGUCCUUGUUGAUGUGCACACCAAGGGAAGGCACCAACUCAAGUGAUUCAUUUUCUCAGCUAGCCCAGGUAUUCCCAGGUGGCAGGAGCUGAGAACAUGAGCAAGCCUUCGACGUGUCCCACAGCCAGGUGGGACACAAUCAGCAGCUAUUCUGGCAACAUACCACAGCUAAACCUCUGUGCUACAAGCCACAAAGGCCUAAGCUUCCCAAAAUUUCUUACCAGAAAGCACGAGCCAAAUGCUAUGGCAGGUUUAUUGAAGAGGUGCCCUACGCAGUAGAAUUUCCUCCAGCAAUUUAGCUGUGGGAUACCCAUGAAGAAAAGUUAGAUUUUUCACACCUUGCAUACAAGGAGAGUGAAAAGGAUGCUAAAAAUUCAAAAAUACAGUAACAGGAUGAGGUCAGAAGAGCACAGUUCGGCCUUAUCAUGAUCUUGAGAGUGACAAACAGCAGUUGCCUCUGGAUGUGCAGCAAGAGAGGCACUGGGAUGCAGAGAUGCUUCCCAGCAAAGCCAGGCACCUGCCAGCCAGCCACCCACCAGCAGCUCGGGGGACAACUCUCCCCCUGCUUUCCAAGCACUUGCCUUUUGUGCAUUUCUCCACUCACUUCUAAAUCCAUGCAGCAUUUUAACCACCCACUACGUUCCCAGGAAAGCUUAAUUACAGACCAUGUGACAGAAAAAACAUGACCCUUCCUUGGUGCUGAGCUCACCCCCUGCCAGCACCCUCUAGUUUAGCUCCAGGACGAGACUGGAGAACACAGCUCCAUGCCACUGGACACUUCAGCAGCUCUGCCUUCUCCCUUCCCUCUCUGCCAGCCUGACCAGUCUGCACCUCCAUCUGUCCUUCCCAGUCCUGCUGUGCUUUCCUGGGGGAUCAGACUGACAGGAUCCCAACCAGGGGGGGCAGCACCUCUCACAGAGGCACAGCUAUGUUCCAGGUUUUCUCUGUUCCUCCCCAGUAGUUCUCACCAGUUUCUUCUGCAGUUUCCAUCACAACUGGACAAUGAAGCUUUGUCUAACAAACCAUCAUCUCAAGCAGUAACAACCCAGUGUCCACCACUGAGUACAUGGAACUAGAACACUGCUUUUUGUGUGACUUUACCGAGUGAUUUUUAUCUUUUAUUUUCAGUGGCCAUUCAGUCAGGAUCAGAAUUCGUGAUGUCUGUCCUUGCUCUUUGUUAUCCUGAACGAUGCUGUAUCAGCAGCACUUUGGCACUGCAGCAUCUCCUGCUUUUUCAAACCAUUUCUGGAUGGAUUGCAAUGAACAAUCAGUAAAGGCACACUGUCAAUAAAAGCUCCUCCAGCUGGUCCAGCUCCUUAGCAGGAGCUCUAGAACAAGGGAUAAGUCCACAGUGAGUAAGAAUGCCCCCAGCCAUGAGCCAGCCUGUCCACAUGAGCAUGGACACGCCUUGGGAAGUAGCUCAGUCCAACUGCAGAAGCUCCAUGUACCAGAUGCUGAAUUCCCCCAGGGAUGAGAAAAUAACUUUCCAAUUACAAUCAUCAGAAAGAGUUGUGUUAACUUCAACAUGAUUUAAUCCAGACACCACUAGCAAAGAGCACUAAAUUUUAAUUGUGAGUUAAAAACACUGCUAUAAAUUACUGAAUAACCCCUCCCAAACAACAGCACCAACAAAAAGGUACUUUUAGGGUUUUUUCACCUCCAUGUGGUUCCACUGCAGUAUUUCCUCCAGCCCAUUCUGAAUUUCUUUAGUCAAAUAACUGUGUCUUCUUUGCAGGAUAUCAGUAGUUGAUUUGAAAGUGAGAAUAUAUUUAGCUGUUCCCUGUAAUUUCCUGGAACAGGAGACUCCUUAAGCACACUGUGGCUCCCAGUUUUCUAACCUGCAGAUUUUGCCUCUGUACAGAGUCCGUGUAUGGAGACCUCUGCUGAGCUCCAAUUCCCUAAUAACCUACACCAGGGUGCUGGUCACACCUGCUGCUGUUCACCUUAACACAGCUUUUCUCUUUCAUUUUUAUUCUAUUAAAAUAUUUGAGUCAUUCUUCAUGUUAAACAAUACUAAAAUGCUUUUAUUUACUUCCUAAA